AUUGAACGCUGGCGGCAUGCCUUACACAUGCAAGUCGAACGGCAGCACGGGUGCUUGCACCUGGUGGCGAGUGGCGAACGGGUGAGUAAUACAUCGGAACGUACCUUAUCGUGGGGGAUAACGCAGCGAAAGCUGUGCUAAUACCGCAUACGCCCUGAGGGGGAAAGCGGGGGAUCGAAAGACCUCGCGCGAUUAGAGCGGCCGAUGCCUGAUUAGCUUGUUGGUGGGGUAAAAGCCCACCAAGGCGACGAUCAGUAGCUGGUCUGAGAGGACGAUCAGCCACACUGGGACUGGGACAAGGCCCAGACGCCUACGGGAGGCAGCAGUGGGGAAUUUUGGACAAUGGGGGCAACCCUGAUCCAGCAAUGCCGCGUGAGUGAAGAAGGCCUUCGGGUUGUAAAGCUCUUUUGUCAGGGAAGAAACACCGGCUCUAACACAGUCCGGGAAUGACGGUACCUGAAGAAUAAGCGCCGGCUAACUACGUGCCAGCAGCCGCCGUAA
rnacentral:rRNA from 1 species